rnacentral:lncRNA from 1 species
ACUACACACAGCAGGCAGAGGAUAACCAGUAACAGAUCUUUCGUUUUUCUUUUAUUUUGCAGGUAAAACUUCUACUUUAAAUUGUAACUAAAUGAGUUCUCUUUCCAUAGGUAUAGAGAUUGGAUUAGCCAUAUUAGUCCAUUGGACCAGUACGCUUGAUGCCAGAAAACAACAACAGAGUAUUGCAGUGUGUGCAAAGAUAUCUUUUUAUUGGGCUAUCAUAAUAUUCAAAAUAUUACUUCCUAAAGUUAUACGCUCUUCCUCAGGUCUGAAAGAAUACUCAUCAAUAUAACGAGGUUUGAUGCUUGAAACGACUGAUAUUGUCAUAGAAGGGGAGACGGUGAGUGGGGUGUAACAUAACAACAUCCACUAAUGGUUAAUGAAUAUUUAUUGAUCUCUAAUCAAUUGCCUUUCUGCUUUAUCUAGCAACACAUUAAUUUUAUUUACAAGUUGUGGGGUAUUUUCAUAGACAAAUUAUUCUACUUUUAUAAUUUAUCAUAAAGGAAAAAAUGAACAUUGCAUAGCUAAAAGGAGCACUUUAAGGAGCCCAAACCAAGUGCCUCACCCGAGGCCUUGCUGCUGACUGUACAUAUGGCUAAUGCACUUUUGUAUAAACAAUAACUAUUUAAUCUAAAUUUGGAAAUUGGUUAUUGGCUGAGUGGGAAGUUGAAGUGUUUAGCCAAUGAAUGCUGUGAAAAUAUACUAAUGCAGAUGUGUAACGCACAUUCACAGUACAGAUAACGAGGGACCUGGUUGUGGACGUCUGUGGGAACCUCGGAUUGGGUCAAACCAUCGUAAAAUGAAACGUAACUAUGGGACAGAAACAGGGGCAUUCUAUAGCAAUUCCCCUUUAAGGAGUUAUUAACCAAAUAUUUACCGGCACUUCCCAAAACAUUGUGUGCCUAUACUAGGACAUCAACGUAUUUACGUUACAGUAAUCUCACUGGAGGGCAAAUGUAGUGAUGUCUGGAAUCUAACUCUUUUACUAUAGUGGGAAAGCAGGAGACAAUCCCAGCUACUACAGAACCUAUUGUGGGUAGAUUCUAAACAUAUUUUAGAUGCCAACACAGAAGCUCCUCUGUAUUUUGUUAAGCUUUUUCAUGUACCUUUGGUUUGAUUUGUGUGACUGUGUUUCAAUUCCUUUUUUAUUGUGACUGCAUGUCUGUCUGUCUUCCCUGAGAGUGAGCUCUCGGCAUACUUUAGGCGUAUUAUCAGUAAACAAUCGGCAAUGUCCUGUAUAGUACAGAUGCCUAAUGUUAUCCAGUCAUUUGCACUUACUUAAUGAGGGCAUAAUGCCUACUUAUAGACAUUCUAGUGGCAUUUUUGGGAAUGUGCAUUACCGAAAUUAUAUAUUCUCAAGAAAUAUAUUUACAUAUUUACUGAUAUUUAUCCUAAAUUUCUACGAUAUGUGACAAAAAAACCAAUGUAUGCUAAUAUUUCAGAAACAGUCAGGUGCAUUUAAAAAUGUGGGAUGUCUUAUAAUCUCAAAAAUUUGUAAAAAAAGAAAUAAAUAUAGGCAGAAAAACUGGGUAAAUCUAUAGUAUAUUUUAGUUAUAUUACUAAAUAGCAAUAAACAAAACAUUAAAUGCAGAGUUUGAUCAUUUGUCUGGGUUUUGGUUUUAAUGAAUCAUAUCAUGUAUGCACUGGCAAUCAUACAACCCACGUCUUUAUUUCUGGGAAUUGUUAACCUGGCUGUAUUUUUUUCUGCCUGCCUUGGCUACUUUCUAAUGGCUUUGAAUUAUACUGUUCUGUUUAGCAAUAGUUUGAUUGUGAAGGCAAAAUAUAAGCAUAGAUAUAAGCCUGAAUUUCAACACUCCACUGAUUUAAUCUAAGCUGUUUUGUACAGUUUAUAAUCCCUCCUUUCAGGGUUGCCCUUUCCCCAUGGGUCAUCUGAGCAAAAACCCCCCAUUCCUGAUGCAUCAAUUUCUGAAACUUGCUGAGACUGUAAUUGUCCCUGGCAGCACUAGACAUUUGGGAAUCACACUUCCAUAGAUUGCAACAGAAGAGAAACCUGUCUGAUUGUAAAGAUAAACACUACACUUCUUGCAUAUGUUGACUGAAGAUACAAAAUCCGUACUUGCUUUUGCCAAGUCACUUUAACGAACACUUAGUACGAUACCGACAAAUUGCAUAAACCAUUCUGGAACUGUAGUCAGCUUAGACAUUAGAAUUUAAUCAUUUGGUGCUUUUGUUAACACUUAAAUACCCACGGGUAAAUCAAUUCCUUUAUAUCGUUGUCUUCACUAGGUUAAACGUCAUUUUGCUUUACCAACACAGUAAAGCAAAAUUGCAUGCAGCCUAUCUUGCCUAAAAAUAUAAUUAAAAAAAGAACUUGUGGGUUUGUAAAGAUAUAGAAGUUGAUUUACUAGUAAACUUGUGCAUUCAGUUUCAAACAAAUGGUGAUUUGUUCAAAUUUUGGAUGAUCAAUGUUUUGUACAAAAUCUCUAACUCCAAAUCGACAUAUGGAUAAAUCACAAAACAGGCAAUGGAUGAGCUGCCUUGUUUAUUUUGUGAUUCGGAAACCCAUCCACGGUGCCAAAAUAACUGACUGAUGGUUAGGAGACAGACACUAAAUGUUGGUUGUAUAGACAGAUUCACAGCGAUCUCAGAUAUCCCACCUGAAUACUGGUGAAACCACUCACGUAACUUUGGGGUUACAUAACCAAGUGCGCUUAUCACAAGUGGGACUACUACUAUCUUUACUGCCUUCAUGUCCAUACAUACAAGUUUUGUAGACUGUGCAAAAUUUGGUUUGGACAAACUUUUUUUUUCCAAAAAUUAAAUUUAGUUAGGGGCCACAGACACUUGUUCAGUUGACAGCUCCGCUCCUGAGAAUAUCGUCACUGGAGAAUACUUGGGAAAACAAUUCGGACAACCCAAAAUGGGAAGGAAAAUGGGCUAAAACAAAUAACAUUUCCAAACACAAUAAAAAACAAUAAUAUAUAUAUUAUUUGUUUUAUUUGUUAUGUUUUAUAUAUAUAUAUAUAUAUAUAUAUAUAUAUAUAUAUAUAUAUAUAUAUAUAUAGAGAGAGAGAGAGAGAGAGAGAGAGAGAGAGAGAGAGAGAGAGAACUGGAAACCCCAGGUUCGAAUCCCAGUCAGACCUCACCAGUAAGUUUCCCUGGGCAUGAAACCUAACAAUAUAUACGCUGCCCACCUCAAUAAUAUGAGAGUAACACGAACCAAGAGAGUCAUGCUGGCUCUGGUGUUGCCAGAUUAACAAGAUCCGCAUCAGAUGUGAGGGAACCAGGGAAAUCUGACAACAAGUGGAACAAAUGGGAAACCAGGGCAAUCUGCUUGGCAAUCUGCAAGGGAACCAGGGCAAUCUCACAACAAGUGCAACAACUGGGAACCAGGGCAAUCUGCUUGGCAAUCUGCAGUGGAACCAGGGCAAUCUGACAAUAGUGGGCGACUGGAACAAACUAUUCCUGGGCACAAAGUGAAAACCUAGACCUGUUUGACUGCUACUAUUGGAUGAGUAAUAGACCCUAACACCAAAACACAGGAGGUUACACAACAUUUUAACAUUGGUAACAGGAAGCUAAUGUCACAACUGGCCUAUACAAAUCGUCAUACAUGAACCACAAGGUGCAAGAAAUUCCUAUUCCCACACCCAUACUUGCAGUGGGCUACCAACCUGAAUCUCUGCCCCAGGGUGGCAAAACAACAGUUAUACAAAAGAUGAUCCUAAAAAAGCUAGCAGACCUUGAUCACUAGACAAAAAUAUGAUAUGGAAUUUGGCCAAUCAGCCUAAAAGUGGACAAACUGCAAUUCAGCUGAAAGUACAAGUCUAUUACAUAUAUUUAUUUAUAGAGAGAAAAAGUGACAGAUACAGAAAGAGACAGAGACAGAGACACGGGUUCAAUCGUUUUUUAUUUUCCUUUUUGUGGACAAGUCUUACAAUUUCGAUUGAAUGCUUUGAAAUGUAAUAAUGUUUUAUACCAAAAUCAGAUAUUGAUUACCAUUUGAGCUAUUAAUGUUAUCUCUAGCACUUUGCAAGUAAUGUAUAAAUCAAUAAAUGUAUCAUCUGGUUUUGUUUUCCCAAGAUAAAUAAAUUAUUUUACUCUAUACAUGAUACAAUGACGAAUAAAGCUUCCACAGUCAGUUACUUUACGAAAACAAAUUACACAACAUGCAAUAGAGCUUCCACUGAAACCUGUAGUAAAAGUGUCAUAAACAAAUAGUGACAGUAUGUGAGCAUCUUAAUACAUCAUCAAUGAUUUGCCUCAUUUAUAAAAGAAAUGCUCAUGGUAAAUAUGGGUUUGUUAAGAGGCUAGUUGUCAAAGUUCCUUGUCACCUUCCUACCUAAAGGAAGAUGUGGCAAAUUUAAAUUCCCCCAGUAUACGGUCUAGUGAAAGGCAUUUGAAUGACAUUACAACAUAAGACAAAACCCCAAACAUAUAUCAGUGACAAAUGACAGAAUUGUCAAAAUAAUUCUGUAAAAUAAUACCAAUACAUCUAGUAGCCUAUUUUAAUUCUUCAUAAGGUAUAAAUAUAUAUACAGGUUAAACAUCCUGCUCGAAAAAAUAUAAACAGGUAUAAUUGCCAUAUCUGAUAUUAAUCAGGAUCUUUUGUUACAGAAACGUAAUAUCUGCCAUGUGUGGUGUAUUUUCUUUCAAAAAGAUAUGCUUAUGAUUUUUUUGUGUUAUUUAAUCUGUUUUAAUUAGAACGUCUCCAAUAAUUAGAACUUCUCAACUCCCAAUGAAAAUCAUGCAAAAAGCAAAAUUAAAAACAAAUAAAUUGAGCAAGGCCAAAUACAUGAAUGCACACAUUGUUAAUUCAUGACACAUGCCAUAAUAAUAAUAAUAAUAAUAAUAAUAUAUUUUAUGAUAUUGUGCAUGUACAUUUGGGGAUGCCUGCACUGUUGAUUCUGUCAGCUUGAUGGCAAUUAGGGUUAUUCAUUAAAUCAGGAAUUGUAGAGAAAUUAAAACACGUUUGAAAAAGAUAAGCGAAAAUAGCAAAUAAUGAUAAUCGAACCAUAACUUUUAGUCUAAAAUUGGCAAUUCUUUUGUUAAUUCUCUAUAAUUCUCAGUUUAGAGACUAACUCUAUUCUAUUCUAGUAAUGGAUAUUUUUUAAGAAAUACUUCUUAUUAAUAAGGAUAACAAAGAUGCACUUAAAACAACCCAAUGUACUUUGAAUAGACAUUGGCACAUUUUAAAAAUAAUGAUGUGUUAAAUACAUUUUGCCAGACAAAUUGAAAAUUAUUUAUACAAAACUCCCAAUCUUAAAAAGAAAUGAGGCCCUAGUGUUUUCAGACAGGAUAUUGCUUUUACUCAGUCUACUGGCUAUAUACAGCCCUUAAAGGUCUUGUUAAGUGUAUGAAAUAUUAAACAUGUACGUGUAUGAGUAGGAAAAAUACAAAAUAUACACAGUGCUAUGAUGUAUUUGCCUCUGGCACAACCGUGGGCAUAAUCAUUUUAGAAUUACUUAUACAUUUAAAGGGAUACUGUCAUAAAACCAUUUUAACUUCAACUUUACAUACUUAUUCAGACCCCUAAAGAAGUCUCUAUUGUAACUGAAUUACAGAUAACAGACUGAAAUGCUCAUCUGCAAUAUAUUUAAAUUCACAAUAAUGUACACUUUAGUGGAUAACCUUGUCAGUCAACAAAGAGGAGGAAAUCUCCCACAUGAGAAGUACACUUACGUAUCUUAACAUUGAUAACCCCAUACCAUAGUUCCAGCUAUUGAAACAUCAUUAGGCUGUAGAUCUGAAAUGUUUAAUUUAGGAAAAGGAUUCAUAAAAUAUUGAAAUCUUUGGAUAUCCCAAUGAGCACUGUUGUUGAUGUUUCUUGGGUCUGAAAAGAAUCAGUCAUCACUGAAAACUCAAUGAACCCUGUAACGGCUACCCGGGUAGAGUGAGGGUAUCUGCCGUUGGAGACGUCCUUUUUCCCCUUUAAGCUGCUGUGGAGAAGUAAGCUGGUAUAAUCCCAUCCACGAUAUCCAGAGUAAGAGUCAGGUUCAGCUGUAACAGGAGCAGAAUAACAUUCCCAAAUAAUCCCCUUCCAAGAACGAGACAAGGCUACGUUUUGAAGGGUCAAGAAGAUCUGAGGACUGGAACACCCAGCCUGCUUUUUAUUGGGAUCAGGUACACACAGGAUACUCCCAGGGGGAGGAUAAAAACACCCAAUCAUAUACCUGGUAACACCCCCACGUCUCCUCCCCUCAGAUAACAUAUAACAUAAUUAAAACGUACAACAUUUUACCCCAGUUCUGGAUGUUCCCCAAAAACAAGGGGUACAGCUUUAAAUCCUGAGUCGCUUGAUAGCUCUCAUUCAGGGGACCAACAUGUCCAAAAAUCAGCCCAUUCGGAUGAAUGGUUCGGGAGAUACAGAGUUCCAAAGGUUUGACCGACCGCACAGACCAACUAGCCGAAAAUAGUUCCAUGAGUUUUGGCCUUGCGGUCGGUCUCCGUUCGCCUGGUAAAAAGGUAUGAAAGUCUUGCCAUCCAUUCGAAUCUCGGGGUUCGCCGCAAUCCCCAUAGAUGAUUGAACAUAACUACCGAACGUCCGGUGAUUCGGUAGUUUCCGUGCGAACUUCUGGAAGUAUGGAGGACUCAGCGGUGUUCGCCUGUUUGCGUAUCCGAUUUUAGUUCCACGCGUCGACAGGCAAACACCGCUGUUCGCACGUAAGAUGGCCGCGGCCACGUGUAAAGUCCCGAAAUGGCGGCCACCUAUACUUUACACAGGGAAUUCAUGCGAAUCCAUUCGAAUGGUUGCAAUGCACUAAAUGUGACGAAUUCCUGCUGCUUUUGGUUAGUUCACUGGCCCAGGCAUACAGCAUAGUUCUGUUACAAACCCACAAAAGUUGGAAUUGUGAAAGACACCACAAUUAGAACAUUUACCUCUAGUUUGAAAGCUCUUUCGAGCAGGGUCCUCAUCAACCUAUUGUUCCUGUAACAUUUUGUAAUUGUCUCAUUUACUGUUAAAUUUCCCCAUUUAUAAUAUUGCAAAAAUGCUGCGGAAUGAGAAGGUACUCUAUAUGUCAAUAAUAAUAAUAUAAUAAUUCAGUGGCUAGGAAAAAAAUAAUGGUACAUCCAUAAGCUAUAUGACAAAUUAAGCAAACACAGAUUAAAAUGGAAGGGAGUCAAGAAAGAAGUAUGUAAAAGCAUGGCACAUUGUAAGAUAUUGCUCUGCCAACAAUGUUGCAAAAUAUUUUACAUGGUUAUCUGAGACUAAGGUAGAACUUUUGGCCAAAAAGUAGCCUAUCGAGUUUGGCAAAAACUGAUAUUGCCCUCAACUCAAGACAAACUGAUAUAUUGAUAGUCAGAAGGUCCAGAUGCUCACUGUCAAAAACUAUGAGUUGUAUCUCAGGGACUGAAACUUCAGCAACCAGUGAAUACUGGAAUUCAAAAUUAAUUAAUAAUUUUCAGUCAAUGUUAUAGCAUUUUCCAAGACAGUUAUGUGUUUUUUGACUUUGGCCCUAGAAUUGUAACUCUCGUUGUAUUCCCAGCUUUCAAACACUUUAGUACAUAACACUGAAAAGUCCAACUUGAUUGAUUGUAAAUAAAGAUUACUGUGUAGAUAUAGCAUCUACACAGUAAAUUAGGCAUUUUACACCAACACAUUGAUAAGUGAUACAUACUUGAGCAAUUUAAAGUAAAUACAGCUUUAUUUUAAGGUAUUAGCACAGAAUUGGUUUCCUUUUGACCUAUAACCCUCAAUCCUUCUAAAGACUUGUACUUCAGGUGAUCUGAGAUUACUGCUCAAGUCAUCAUAGUUUUUGACUUUUGAAAUUAUAAACCUGCCAUGGUAACUUUUUUAACUCUGUGUGUUUUAAGAUUAAAACAACACCAGUCGGGGUCUGCUCUGACCUACUGGAGAAUAAAAACUCUAGUCUAUAUUAAAGGGAACCUUUAGGCACCUAGACCACUUCAUCUCAUAGAAGUGGUAUUAGUCAGGGAAAAUGCAAUGUUAAGCCUGCCUCUAGUGGAUGUCUACCAGACAGCCACUAAAAGUGUUUCCUGGUCUUUUAUGGAGUUUGUCUCUGUGAAAUGAUGCUGGAAGGCCUAACGCUUUGCAUGAGGACACCCAGCGUCUUCUAAAUUCCCAUAGGAAACCAUUGAUUGAUUGUCUUCCUAUGGUGUAGGCCUAAUGCAUGGGGAAUACCUUGGUUGAGGAGGAGCCCGACUAAGCGCAGAGGAACAAAGAGACUGGAUUCCGGUAAGUGAAAGGGAUAUUUAACUGUUAUUCACCACCGGCGCAGCUGUGAUGGAGGGGGGUCAGAGGGACACUACAUUUUGUUAUCCUAACACUAUAGUGUUCCUUUAAUAUAUUCUAAAUGGAUGAAGCCCAUGGAUGGUACUACAAUAUACUGAGCAUUUUAAUUGCUUAUUGGACCACUAUAGUGCCAGGAAAACAUACUCAUUUUCCUGGCACUAUAGGGUCUCUAGGUCCCCCCCCACCCUCAGGGCCCCCUCCUGCCAUGCUCUAAGGGGUGAAGGGGGUUAAAUCUUACCUGUUUUCCCCUGCCGGGCUCCCUCGACGCGGUGAACUCUCCUCCUCCUUUUCACCGUCAUCGGCUGAAAGUGCAAUGCUUUCCUAUGGACGCUGGUGUCUUCUCACUGUGAAAAUCACAGUGAGAAGCGCGGAAGCGCCUCUAGCAGCUGUCAAUGAGACAGCCACUAGAGGCUGGAUUAACCCAUAUGAAAACAUAGCAGUUUCUCUAAAACUGCUAUGUUUACAGCAGAAAGGGUUAAUCCUAGAUGGACCUGGCACCCAGACCACUUCAUUAAGCUGAAGUGGUCUGGGUGCCUAUAGUUGUCCUUUAAGGUUGAUCUUCACUACUGAAGAAAACUUAUGUACAUUGUCCAUUGAUUCAAUAAAACAUGGCAAACAAAGUGUAUAAUUUAUUACGUAAAUUCAUUGUGAGAAUAUGCAACAUCCUGAGUAAGCUUGUAAAGAAAAAAAGGGUGUAACAAUCCAUCAAAGAAAUUCGAUCCACUGCUCAUUCUGAGAAGUCACUUUCUUUAUUAUCCAAACAAAUCUAUAGUUUGACAUACAGUGGAAAAACAGCUCAAGAUAUAAUACAGUCACAGUAAUGUGUCUGUUACUUUAUCAAUUUCACAAGUAACUAAGUAACAAACUGAGAUUAAAUAUUGCAAAAUAUAAGGGUGAGGUUAGGAUCCUGCAGUACCUAAAAAAAAAAUAUGUAAAUUAAAUUCUGUGUAGCUAUACGUAUGUAUACGUAAUAAUAUGAUGAUUAUUAUAAUUAGUUUUUUUAUGCUGAACUUCAUCCCUAUUCAGUAAUCCUGUCAUUUUUCAUUUACAUUGAAGUAACGACAAGUAGAGUUUUAGAAGGUUAUGUACUUUUGUGGUCAAAAUCUAGACUCCCUUAAGACGAACACUGAUGGAAAAUGAUAUAUAGGUUAAAACUGCAAUGUGUUUUCUGUUGUAUCAAAAUAUUUUCAUCCAAUCAAUCCAAUGAUCUCCAAAGAACACUUUUGUGUUAUGAAUGUAAUAAAUCCAGAAUCCAGGCCAGGUCACGGCAUCUUCAGAUUUCCUAGGCUUUUAUCUGAAUAAAACUAACAUUAACGAUGAGCUUUAGGAACUUUACAACUGAAAAGUUGCCUGUUAUGAGCUAAAAAGGACGUGUGAUCACAUCAAGCACUAGAGAGCGUUCUUCUUUUUAUACUAAUUUAAAGGAACACUCCAAGAACUAUAACCACUACAACCCACAGUAGUGCUUAUGGUGUAAGAAAUGCACUGGCACCCCACGUUGCAAGUAGUCAAACUAUUUGCUAAUAUUUUGACUUCCUACCUGGGUCUGCUGGUGCCAGUUUCUAGCUCUCUGUCAGACAAAGGCUCUUUGACUGAGCAGUGCAGGGCAUAGGUCAUUAGGUGAGAGAGAGUAACUGACAGUUCAUGGAAGUGACCUAACAGGAGCUUUGGAUUUCAUAAGCCGAAGGGCUCUGAGGUCUGGGACCUCGCUUAAGGUGUAAAACCAUUAGCAAAUGGGCAUCAGGGCGCUCCUGACACCAUAACCACUAUAGUGUGCUUGGAGUGUUCCAUUAAACAAAAAAGACACUGUGCCUCAGUGCGUGCAACAACAUACAUAAUGGUUAAAUCCAACACUCCUCAAUACAGGUCUCAUUAAGACAUGGACAGCAUAGCUUAUGGAAAAAUGUCUCUAUAUUGAACCAUAAGUCCUUAAAAAGUGAGAGAGGGCUGGUAAGAUGGUGGGGGGCGAUUGUUCCAUGGGCCACUGUAGCCUCCAAUCUCACAGCAUCUUUCUUCUGAAAGCAGCAGGGGGUGAGUUGAGGUAUCUGUUGGCAGAGUGAGGCGUCUUGCAGGAUUUGUGCUGUUCCUUUGCUAGCCCAGAACUGUGUAGGUUUUGAGUAUACAAUGACAAAGGUAGAACAAAGUGAGCCUUUAAAAUGUUAGACAUAAAAUAAAAUAAUGUUGAGUUUCUUGAAUUAGCUGUUCAUUUCAUACAAAUAUAAUGUGAUGGAUGGCGUCAACCAUUUCUGAAGUGAGUUAUUAUUUGUAUUUUUCAUUUGUUGCCUAAUCUAGUAACUUCACACAGACAUUUUUUUGUCACGUAAUAUUGUUUCUCUCGGGCAGUUUUUGACUUUUACCAACAAGCCAAAAAUAUUUGUGUGCCAUAGUACAUUUUCAAAGGGACUUUCGUAAUUUUCAUUCCAAUGUGACUGUAGGAGAUUUCAUUCUGAGAAAUAAUAAUUGCUUCGUAAGAAUCAUUAUGUUUGGCAUUUAAAUGAAUUUACACACAUUCUUAUUUGUUUGCCGACUAGGUCAUAUUUGAGAUGUGUUGUUUUUUUCAGUUGGAGGAAAAAUAAGUAAUAAUGAAAAUAUUGCUGCCAGAAAAUAAUGUUUUUAAUUUCCUAUGUAACUAUACAGUGUCACAUUUGAUUGAUGGUCAAUACAUGCUAAUUAUGAUUACUUUUUAUUAUCAAAUGAACUACCGCUUUAAGCGUUUUAUAAUCCAGUUUUUUUUUUUUAAAACCUGCAUUUUUGUUUCUUGCAAGAAAAUGUCUUAAAGGACAACUGUCAUCAAAUUUUUAAUUCUCAUCUUUUAAAAGUUUAUAAAAAAUAUAUCAUUAAGUUUUCUUAAAAGUAAUACAGUCUGAUCCAACAUAGGUGCUCAGUCAUAUAAAAAAGUGAUAUUUUCUCAAAAAACAAUAUACUUAAUUUAAAAAGUAUAUAAUUAAGUUUAAUUAAAUGUAAUAAACUUUUAUAAAAUGAAGACUGAAAAUGUAUAGACAAUUGUCCUUUAAUGAGUCACAACAUAGGGCUGGCAUCUAAGUCUUCAUAUAGGGCUCUACAGGCAACAUAUAUCCUCAACAAAGUAGCCUACUAAUUUCGCUUCUAAGAAGUUAUCUUAUUUUUAUGUGAAUUACACUAGAACAUCUUAUCGAGUUCAUGUGGGGUAUUAUGACUUCUAUUUUAUAUUUUAGGAUAAAAAUUAAUUUAAAGUUUAAAGGAUUUAAUAUUUUGAAAAAUAUUUCAAUUUUUUUAAUAUUGAUUUUUUUUAAUAUUAUAUACUUUUUAUAUUUUAAUAUUUUGAUUUAUUUUUUAAAGUUCAAAAUAUAAAAUAUAGUCCCAAAAGUCUAAAGAUAUCAAAUGAAGGCCUUCAAUAGCUACUUAAUACUAACCUGUAUUUAUUUUAACAAAAUCAUAAAAAACACAACGCGUUUCGCCAAAAACAGGCUUUUUCAAGCCUAUUUGAAAAAGCCUAUUUUUGGUUAAACACGUUGUGUUUUUUAUGAUUUUGUUAAAAUAAAAGUAUUUUUAGACUACCUAUCUGCCCGUGGUUAGUCCUCUUACUUUUAUUUGUUGCUCUUUUACCCUGGCUGAUUUUUUAUUAUUCUAAAGAUCCAGUACUACUAAAGAAAUGCUAUGUUGGGAUUAUUCCACUCACACCUGGUUCAUAGUGUAGUGUGGCUGCUCUAUACACUGUAAUUACGUUUCAUUUUACCUUUCACUUCUAUUUUAUCUACUGAGAACACUAUGGGCCCUCUUUUGUGUUUUUUUUUUCAUAAGUCCUGCAUUGCAAACAUCGCUAGAAGGAUAUCCUACAUGUGGGGAGUUUAAAUACCACUGUGUGCUGUUUUACUCAGAGCUGGUGAUAGCUCUCUCAAUUGUAAGUUGGCACUCUUAGGACCUCAGUGUUUGUUUAUAGUUGUAGGUGACAUACGUUAUUGCACCAUUGGGUUUUUCCGUUAUUUUUAUGUAUUUUAUAUGCUGACGUGUAUCUGAGACGCUGCAAGAAGUAUUGAAGAAACACCGCAUUUUGUCCAGCUAUAUCCUACAUGUGGGGAGUUUCAAAUACCACUGUAUGCUGUUUUACCUAGAGCUGGGCAUAGCUCUGUAUAUUGUGAGUUGGCACUUCUCUAUUUCUAUGUUGUCCGUGACACCAUUUCCUAACGGUUUUGCACUAUUGGUCCCUUCCUGUUUCUGCUUUUGUAUUUCAUAUUAACUACUGAGGACCCAAAUCAAGAACCAAAGAAUACCUAUCUAAGGUUCACAUUGCAUUUUCAGAGACUUUUUGUACUUCCUUCUUUCUGUGUAUAUUAUCUCUCAUUGUUCUACUUAGUGCACUGUGUAUUUGCUGUUUCCUGUUCUCCCAGAUUUGUUGAAGGGUUUGAGGGUUGCCCUUCCCCUCAAGUGUACAGCUCCAUCCACCCCUGUGAUUAGUACUGUAGCGCUGUUCCACCCCAAUUUUUUUUUUCUAUUUUCUACUCUGUUUGUGGUGUCUUGUGCCUCUUCGUGUUUGGUGUUUGGCCAUCCCGGGCCUUACUUCCGGUAUGGGUGUAUUUAAAUAAUAUAACUCACCUUGUUACAAAUGCCAGGACUUUUCAGCUGCAACUCCAACUGCAAGCAUGCAGAAAUAAACCACUAUCUCAUCCAAUCAUAGAGAAGUAUUGGAUUGGAGAACACUUGUGCAUCAAAAUGCUGAACUUCUCCAACCAAAUACAUAUAAGCAGCUUUUGAUUGCAGGACUGACGUUUACUUGGUUAUGAAGAUGGAAUCGCUUCAAGUGGCUUUCAGGAAGACAAGCCAAGGCUUGCUUGACCUGUUAAUGUAAUUAUUGCCAUUUUUACAAAAUGGCAAUGUUUUAAAUUAAAUGGUUAAAUGUACCACUGAACCCAGAUCACUUCAGUGUUCCUUUAAUAAUUGUUGCUGAGCAAAAAGACCUUACCCUCCAGCAGGGCCGGACUGGCCCAGCGGGAUACCGGGAAAUUUCCCGGUGAGCCGUCAGCACCUGUGUCUGUGUCUGCUGGCGGCCGCUGCGGGAGGUCUGCUGGCGGCUGCUGGGGGACCUGUGCCGGCGGCUGUUGGGGGAGCUGCGCUGUCUCUGCUCCCCAGCGUGCAGCUUAAUGAGACCGGGUUCGAAAUAUGACGUCAUAUUCCUGCCCCGUCUCAUUCAGUAGAGCGCGAGGGCGGGUGAGCAGAGCCAGCGCAGCUCCCCAGAGGCCACCAGCACAAGUCCCCCAGCGGCCGCCAGCACAGGUGCCCCAGCAGCCGCCAGCACAGACAGCCGUCUGCCCUGCACGACCCCCUGGCAGGUAGUAGUAAUGUGUGUAAGUGUGAGUUUGUCUGUCUGUUAUGGUGUGUCUGUCUGUCUGUUAUGGUGUGUGUGUGUGUCUGUGUCAUGGUGUCUGUCUGUAUGGUGUGUGUGUGUCUGUCUGUCUGUCUGUCUGUGUCAUGGUGUGUGUCUGUCUGUAUGGUGUGUGUGUCUGUCAUGGUGUGUGUGUGUGUCUGUCUGUCUGUCAUGGUGUGUGUGUGUCUGUCUGUCAUGGUGUGUGUGUGUCUGUCUGUCUGUCAUGGGGUGUGUGUCUGUCCAUCAUGGGGUGUGUGUCUGCCUGUGUCAUGGUGUGUGUGUCAUGGUAUAUGUGUGUGUGUCUGUCUGUGUCAUGGUGUGUGUGGGUCUGUCUGUGUCAUGGUCUGUCUGUGUCAUGGUCUGUCAUGGUGUGUGUGUGUCUGUCAUGGGGUGUGUAUCUGUCAUGGUAUAUGUGUGUUUCUGUGUCUGUCAUGGUGUAUAUGUGUGUUUUAAAACAGUGUUUUUGCUCACCUUUUUCCCCCCACGCAGCGUGCUGGUCUCCCCUCGACUGGCCCUGCCUCUAUGGCUGAGAUCAUCAAGCUUGAUGAUCUCAGCCAAUCCAAUGCUUUGCCAUAGGAUCAAUGUAUCUCUAUGGGGAACGUUCAGCACCUACAGAGUGUGGAGGCCCUGAAUGUAGGUGCACUGACACAGGAAGCACCUCUAGUGACUGUCUGAGUGACUGUCACUAGCAGUGUCACUUUGAAGCAAUGUAAACACUGCCUUUUCUCUGAAAAGUCAGUAUUUACGUUGAAAAGCCUGUAGGGACAUGCUAUAGACACCAGUACCACUACAUUAAGCUGUGUGUGUGCUUCUGCUAGUGAGUGAGCUUGCUUGCAUUUGUGUGCCUGCUAAUGAGUGAGCUUGUGUAUUUAUGUCAAUGAGCUGAUGUAUAUCAGUGAGAUUGUUUGUCUAUGAGGCUGUGUAUCAAUGAGCUUGUGUGUCAUUGAGAUGUCAGUGAGAUUGUCUGUGUCUGCAUGUGAGUAUGCUUACUGUAUAAUUAAACGUUUUACCCUGAAAGGACCAAUAUUUUAUAUUAGAAAACGCAAUAAAUAUAUAUAUAUAUAUUACUCAAUCAUCUGUCAUGGCAAGACAUAGCCUUACAUAUUACACGUGACAAUAUAUGGCGCAGUGACUUAUGGGGCUGGCAUAAUUUUUUUUCCCAGGGCUGCUUUGUUUCCCCAGUCCGGCCUUGCCCUCCAGGUAACAAUGACUGGCCAAGAGAGAAGUCCAUGGACUAUAAGGCUUUCCUGAAACAGCUCUAAACUCUAGCCUGUCCUAAAAAAAACCAAAAAUGAAUUUCUUCAGUGAGCUCAACACAACUAGUUAUGGUAACUGAGUGAAAAUUGGUCCUCAGAAUAUACUACCAGAUAUAAUACAUUGAUAAAAGAGCUAUUUAAACACUAUAAAAUAUAACAUACAGUGGGUUAAAGUAGUUCUAAUCAAGUCAUACUUUGUAAAUUGUCAUUAAUUUGACGUAUGUGUGUUUUGUUUCUUCAAAACAUGAUUGUGCAUAGUAACUAAUUGUAUUUUGUGCACAGCUGCUGUUGAGUACAUUCCCGCACUGCGUAAUGAUACAAUAAAGCCCAAAAGCAGAUACUGAAGGGAUUUAUUUUGAAAUCUGGUAUUCAUUUGAUUUAUUUUGUUGCCCAUAAACAACAUGACCUGUUUGUCUGUCUAUCUAUAAAUUCAACAUAAUGAAAGAUUGUUUCACAUGCAUUUAAAACAAUAAAAAAAAGUUACGAGUAUAUACUCAAAAAUAAUCUAUAAAUCUAUCUUGCUAUGUAUCUCGCAAUCUAUGUAUCUAUCUAUCUAAUAAUAUAUAAUAACAUUAUACAAAAAUACACACAAGUUUUACCCUUUUCACCUUUAGAGUCUGAAACAAUAUACUGUUUUAAAGCAAGCUUUAUUUUGUUUUGGUGCAAUUUAAUUAAAUGAUGAUAAAUUGUGUAGGAUUUUAUUAUGAAUAUGAUUUUUUUUUUUUUUUUUGUAAAAACAUUUUUCUUUCACAUUAUAUCACAAAUAAAAGUGUCCAUCACUGUGCAACGCGGGCUCUCUAAACUGAAAGGAGAAAACACCCCCAUUUGUUUCAUUGUUUUUGAUUCUCAAAUAAUAAUUUAGGAACAAACGGGACUCGAGAUGCAAUGUUUGUACUGCAGCUGUGUUUGUGUCACCCAUUUAACUUUUGGAUCAUUGCAGUCCUAAAGUCAAACACCAACCUAAAUCCUCCUGUGUUUCUUUAUUAAAGUUACUUCUUCCAGUCCACUACAGCUGUCACUCAGCGUGUGAUCUUUUGGAAAAAAACAAAUGAGCCAGAUGUACAGUUCAAUAGACAGACACCUCAAGUCAUAACAAUCUAGUGGGGCAAGCUAAUGCUGCUUGCAAAAGAAUUAGCCUUUAUUAGCCACUAAUGCCAGUUUUUACUCUCUAAAGGACUUUGGAAAGCACAUCCAUUCAUGUCAUGCACUGGAAAAAAACACACAUUAUUGGUACAUCUGGUGGGGAAACGCCUGGUGCAUAUUGAUGGGUAGCUAGGAUGCAACCCCUCAGCUGUUGCUAAAUAUCAACUCUCAUCACCCUCAUCCGACAGCUGGGAGCCUGACGAUUUUCCCAGCGUAGACUCCUUGCUUCUUUGGGAUAACUGAUGAGUAAAAUGCCUCUGUAGGGAACGGGAGUGAAGGGUCAUGAAGAUUGCUGACUGAUACGGUUUGUACACUUGCUUGAUUAAUUUUUUACAUUCCAUUGGGUUGCUUAAUGGUUUACACUGCUCCUUCUGGGUCAGUGAUGGAAUUGUUUGUGUUGCAACACAACCACAAUUAUGUCGUGAUUAUUUGCAUGGGUUGUUCAACUGGCUUUAAAUACUGUACUGUUUAUCUGUGUAACAAACAUAAACACGAGUGAAUACAAACAUGAGAAAAUAAUGAAAACAAAACAUACAUAUUUAAAAUAAGAUUGUUAGGAAUACAGAGCUGUAUUCCUGAUACUAUAGGGUCCCUAUGGCCCCUGCAGCUUCCACUGAGUCCCCGCCAUGCAUGGAAAGGGUAAAAAAACCUUUUUACACUUACCUGAUUUCUGCGUCGAUGUCAUACAGCACUGAGUCGUGGUCAAUGGGGGAGCCACUGGAAUAACCAAAUGUGCAUGUAAGGCAAGCACUGCGCAUGUUUGGCCUCGACUCAAUGCUUUCCUAUGGAGUUUUGCUUGAUGCUGGAUUUGCAUUAGGACAUCCAGCUUAGUUUCACAGGGCCAAACUCCAUAAAAAAGGGAAGAGCCUCUAAUGGCUGCCUGGUAGACAGCCAUUAAAGUCAGGCUUAGCAUUGCAAUGUAAAUAUUGCAUUUUCUUUAAAACUGCAAUGUUUUACAUUGCAGGCCUGAGGGAGACAGGGACACUGCACCCGGACCACUUCAAUGAGAUAAAGUGGUCUGGGUGCCCACAGUGUUCCUUUAAAAAACGAAUUAGUUAGAAUUAUAAUAUAUUAUGUUAAACAAACUUUUUGCACAGUGCCUUGUUAUUUUCAAAGACAAAAGUUUUAAAUAUUCUAUGUAUAAAAAUGCCAGAACUGUGUAAUACGAACUAAAGAAAGCAUGGGCUGUAGGUAAUAAAACUAGUGUUCCAAUAUUAAAACGGCCAAACUGUUACUGAAGUUUUCCUCCCUUGUGCCAUUGUUCCACUAUGUUCAGGAAAGAUUUGUUUUGUUUAACUUACUCUUGUCCUUACUUGGCAGCUAUGAUAAAUGACCCUUGGAAACUAAGCCUUCUUGCGGAGAGCAUUUUUUUUCACACAAAUUAAACCUGUUUUUACUGGUUUCCAUUUUAUUGUAUUCUGCAUUGUAACAUGUAAUGUUUGCAUGCCUCACUGGCGGCCAUGACUGAUGACUAACCAUGAGCAACACACUUCAGCCAAUAUUAUUUUCUUAAACGAUUGUUAAGGUUCUUUAGGCCAUCAUGUACUCCAUUUGAAGCAAGAUUCAGUUAGCAGAGGAGAAUGUUUGCCUCCUGAUGUCCAGAUUAAAUAUCCCCCCAAAAUCUUUAUCUUUUCCUAACUUUCAGUGUAAAUAACCCCCUCACCACCAAGACUACUGAAUAAUUCAAAAAAUACUUAAUCACAUGAAUCUAUGGUAUCAAAGUUUCAUCAUGAUAGAUAUUAUAAACUGCAAUUCCGAUAAUGCUCAGGGUUUGGCCCUUUUAGGAUGUUAAAACCUUGAAAUAAUAUACAGUUUGGAUGUUUCUGAAAUGUAACGCGUGUGAAAAUGAAGUAAACAUGUUGCCAUGACUAAAUUCCUCAGAAAUGUGUAAUAAAGUGGAAACUACAAUUGACUUAAAAUAUUAAAGAGACGGGGGCGGGGGGGCGUGGCCUGGACAAACAUGGUGCUGGACGCACGGUGAAAGAGCUCUGCACCCCUGGCUGCCUAAAUAGCCAAAAUAAGCGAGAAAAACGGGAGAAAAUGGUCCGGAAUAAAAAGCAUUUAGCUGCGGAGACAGCAAAGGCAGACUCGCCCAGGGGGCACACGGGACCGAUUGAUGAUUUUGUUGCUACGACGCCUAACACUAGAAGAUAGCAAUAUGAGAACAAAAUGGCGCCCAUCUCUCCGAGCUCAGAGAGCGCGAGUGAACCCCAGAUGGAGGACGCCCAGGUCAGUGAGUUGGCACAGAUUAGGGCUGAACUUGCCCACAUAUCAGCAAAAAUGCUUACCAAAGCAGACACUGGCUCCUUAGUCCAGGAAAUCUGCGCAGCCCUACUUGUAGAACUUGCCGACAUGCGCUCCGAUCUGACAGCGCUUGAACAAAAGGUGGAUGAAAUGGAGAGAACCGCACAGGGUUGCAAGGAGCAACACAGAGCGACAGAGGUGGCGGUUACCAGACAGGACAACAUGCUCCUCACGCUACGCAGGCAAGUGGAGGACUUGGAGAAGAGGAGUAGGCGGAACAACAUACGGGUCCGAGGCCUGCCAGAGGCAGGCACAGAACCGCUCCAGGCCACACUAAUUGAUUUAUUUAAACAGCUUCUAGGUGAUCAAGCCCCUGAAACACAUAGAAAGGGCACACAGAGCACUGUGCCCAGUGAGACAGGAUGGCAACCCCAGAGAUGUGAUCUGCUGCAUUGCCUCAUACGGACAGAAAGAUAAAAUAAUGGCCGCCGAGAGGGAGCGGACCGCUAUCAGAUUCCGCAAGGCUGAGGUAUCACUGUAUCAGGACUUGUCCAACCUCACACUAGACACUAGAAGAGCCCUGAGACCAGUGACUGGGACCCUACGAGACAAGCGGAAACCAUACAGAUGGGGCUUCCCCUUCAGCCUCCAAGUGAAGCAUGGUAACUCCUGGCUUACGGCCCGCUGGCCAGAAGAUAUCCCAAGAAUGCUGAGAACAAUGGGCCUGCCCUCAGUCAGAAUCAGGAACUGGAUUCUGGAAGAAGCCAUAACAACACGGAGAGAUCCCCUGGCAGCGCAAGCUCCCACAAGAUAGGGACCCCAAAUCCUGCACCUGUUAGACAUGGACCGCAUAAAAACCACACCUAAAAUUAAGGCACUACCGCAUACUAAAUCGGGUUACACACCACCCAAGAGCCCAAAGUAAGAUACUACUGAUGGCGGGGGGUGAGGCUUAUAACCAGGCUAAUACAGCAUUAUUAGCGAAGUACGAUCCAAUGAUCCCAAAAGCCUCAAUUACCACUGUAACUGCUUUAGAAAAAAUGUUCUGUAAACGAGUCUGAUGCAAAAACAUGAACUGAACACUCUGACCCUUUAUGUUUCAAUAAAGAAAAUAGAUUGACAAAAAUAUUAAAGAGACAUUGCCCUGGUUGUCUAAAUGUUUAAAUAUAUAUGCUUUUAUAAUAUGCUUUUGUAGGGGUGAUUGUCAUUGUUUAAAUGCUAUAAUUUCUUAAAAUGAGGCAGUUCCAGCAUCUCAACAAUUAAACUUACAAGCUUGACAAGUUUAAUAGGAAUGUCACUAGUUUGGGUAUUGACCUAAUUCCCUGAAGUGUAUUACAUUGGGGUAAUGCUAAACUUAUGAGAUGUAACUAAACUCCAAACCUCCCUCCUUUUACUGUAGUAGUAUACACUAGGCUUCCAACAUUGAAGAGAAACUACAACAUACACAUGAAAAAUGCAAACAAAUCAUUGCCACUAACUUUUGCAAAAUUAGUGUUUAUAAUACACAUGAUAAAAAAAAAAAACUUUCUAAAAAUAUAUAUUUGUGUCUGGUAUUUUGGGCUCACUGACCAAUAUUAAAGAUCAUAUACUCUUUGUUAUACGUGACCACUAACUGGCAAAAAAAAAAAUUUUUACCAAACAAAUCAGUACUAAAAAUGUAAUCUAUUUUGGGUUAGGUUCGUUUAGCUAAAAUAGUUGUUUAAAAAUUAUGAAUGGUUAAUGUGGAAACAUUUGCAUUUUAUAAUUUUUUUAUGGUAUAUAUCCAUACUAAAUAAUUACUUGUAUACAUUUUUGGGUGGUAAAGAAAAAAUAUCAUAUUUGUCUUUAAGUCAACUUUACAGCAAUAUGCAAAGAAAAAGAGGGCACAAUUUUAAAUCUGGCAUAUCUCUGGCCUAUAGAAGUUUAAUGCCACAUGAUGGAGAGGAAGUAUGAAUUUGUAAUUUUUUAACAGACAACGCCAAACAAACCUGCAUAUGUAUUUGAAUUAUUUUGAGCUUUGAUUCUAGAUUAUUUUAUCCGGGUGCUGUCUAUGUUGUAUAGACAUAAAAUAAAAUUGCAAUGAGACCAUGACAUUAGAAUUUGUUUAUUUAACCAGAGUUGUAAAAUUAAGCUUGUUUUAGGGUUACAGUUUAUGGCGCUAGGAGGCUAAAGAUGCAGUCUCUGACAAAACACAUUUAUUAUAGCUUAUAUUAUAUAUAUAUAUAUAUAUAUAUAUAGUGUGAGCAUUGUUGCUGUGGAGCUCUGUUAUACAUUCAGGAACAACAGCAAUAUGGAGCUCCUUGAAAAGAGGACAUUAGGAUAGAAAAUAGGGACAGAGGGAUUUGGUCAAAAAUAGGGAAUGUCCCUCCUAAAUAGGGACAUGUGGGAGGUAUGUGGUUACCUGAAAGCCCAUGCUAGAGCCUUAUCUGGAUGACUCAUAACAAGGAGUAUUGGGAACUCAUUUGUAUUGUCCUAACUACGUGAAAAGAUUUUGAUAAAAAUGGUAAGUACAGCUCACAAUAAGUUGCUAAAUAUAUCACAUGGAUCCACUAUAUUUUUAUGUAACCUUACAGAGAUUGCAAGCCUCUAGUGUCUCUUUAAUCUUGUUUUGUAAUAAUUAUUCUUUGUGUAAAAGUGCAGAAUGUAUUUAACACCAAGAUGGAGUAGAUUAGCAUACAUAAUGUUCUGAGUUUUAUCAUAAUUAACAAUAUUUAUAUUUUCAUAUUUCUUUAUAAGGCUUCUUCACCAGUCAAUAAGUCAGUUUGACAUGACAACAUUUUGACAUAAGUUAAAAAAAGAAAAAUCCCACAGUCAGCUGAGCGGCGUUUUAUUUAAUUUUCAAUUUAUCACAAACUAUAUUUUGCAAACUGACUAUUCUAAAAAAAAACAACAAAAAAAACCUUAUUUGCCACUUGUCAGAUGGAACAUGUGACCAUUUUGUAAUAAUUUCAUAUCUUUGUAUAACAAUUCAGACUAACAUUUGUCAUUUCUAUUUUUACUGUUGUUCUAGCACGUGGUCACAUUUCUUGUGAAAAUACUGUGUGCUUUAAAAUAUGAAUGUUUUGUGAAUUUUCGCCUACAUGGGUUGACCUGUUUACCAGUGAUAUUUAAUUUGAGCCUGCACUGCGAAAUUCUAAAACAGGAAAACCAAACCACUUGUCAUGUAUAACACAGCAUCUUCUAUUUAUAGGCAAUUUUAUAUAGAUAUAUAUAUAUAGAAACAGAACAUGAACAUUCUGCUGCAAACGGACACAUAAAAGUUCAACUAAUAUAAGUAAUGCUACUGUAAUCAUUAUCAUGUGAUCUACUUCUAAAUUAAUAUAUAUCCAAAAAUAGGCUCGCUGGAGUCUGACAUUAGAGCUGAAAUAGAGGGUAUAGGCUAAGUGUAAUAAAUUGUCCAUCACUUUGUAUUUUUAACUAUAUUUAGCAAAGGAAAAACACUUUGAAAUACCCAUUCACCUAAUCUAGGUUAAAACCAGAUCUCUCAUAUUAUCCAUUACUUAUAUGUUUAUAUUAACGUAUCUUGAAUGUGUUUUUUUAAGUCAAGUGGCCUUAUGAGAAUAAGAAAGUUUGUUUUAUACAGCUGAUGUUAUAUCUCUCGCACUGGUGUAUGAACACAAAUUAAUCUAAAUAUAAUGUCACAACUGUCUCUCCAAACAGCAGAUAUAGUGGUUUAACCCUUCCCUCCCAUCCACGUUUACAAACCCAAGCAGUGAUAAGCCACUAUAAGGAGAGGUGUAAGGAGAGGGACAGGGUGCUGGCGUCUCUCUGUAUCGUAACUUUAUCAAUGAGCAUAUGUUGUUGUUUUGCUUAGAGUGUCCCUUUAAAAGUCUAUCUUAUAAGAAUGACAAAUAUAUGGUUUUAGGCCUUUUUGCUCUAAAAUAAAAAAGUUAGGCUUUCUUAGAAAAAUAAAGAAAGAAAUGUUAUACAUGUUUGUUUAAAAAAAGGAUAGGUCUGUUGAAAAAAAUAGUCCUCCCACGAAAAAAAACACAACUCCGCCAAAAACAAUUAGUAUGCCUAUUUUUAUUUUUUUUAUAAUUUAUUAUUAUUUUCUCCAAAAGACAUUUAAUUUGAAGCAUGUGCUGUGGCUGAAUAAUAUAUUUUCAUCCUACUGCAUAGUAAUAUUUUAAUAUCACUGGAAGUUCUGUGAGGUAGAGUAAGUCAAUUUCGUUACCUAUGUGCCACCAUAAUAUAAAACAUUGUGUGAAAUCUCACUUCAUUUUGUGAAAUCUCAUAUGAAGGCCAAAAUCGCUGUGUUUGCUUUUGUUUUACCUCAUCUUACCUUGUCUCAUUUCAGGCUAAAGUAACUGGAUUUAGCUUGUUUUUCCAAGUUUAGUUAAGUCUGCUGUCAUAGCAAUUUAUUGACUACAGCCGGCCCUACAAAGUCCUGUUGUUUCCAGAGGAAUGGGCAAAUAUAAGCUUCUCUAUAGCAGACGACAAAAGUGCUAAAUCUUAUGGAAUUUUUACUAAAAACAACCACAAGUCUAAAUAAAUAAGGACUUUUUACUAUCUUGACAUCUUUAGUAACAAUUAUUUCCUUAAAUCUCACAUCUGGUCAGCCUCAGAUUUAAAGGUAAACCUUCUUGUGUCAUUUAGUAUAGCAAAAAGAUUUUAGAAGUUUUACCAAAAGCUAUAGCCUUUGCUCAAAUGGCUACUCUAAUUGGCCAGCUUGCCAGAGCCCUUAAGGCUUUUAAGAAAAAAAUAUAUUUUCACCAAUUAAUGAUGGGAGCACUUGCCACUUCUGGACACAAAAUAACAAAACAUUAAUUCCACCAAAAUUAAAACAACCCUUUGAUAAAAUAUAUAAUAAAAAAAAAAGAAAAAAUUAGAAAAUACCAUGCACCAAAACAUUAUUUUAUAUUUUUUAUAUACUUUGCUCAGUGAGUCAAAUUAUUAAUAUAUAUAUAUGUGUAUCUAUUUAACGUACAAGAUCCAGCGCACUCAUUCACUAAACAGCAACUUCAAAGCUCACAGAAUGUAAUAGUUGUUAUGUUUUUUUUUUUUUAAAACACCUAAUCGACAUAAACUUAAUCGAGGUUUAGUUACGGUAUGUGAUUAUUAUUAUUAUUAUUAUUAUUAUUAAUAUUUUAUUAUUUAUAUAGCGCCAACAAAUUCCGUAGCGCUGUACAAUGGUGAUCAUACAUUGCCAAAGCCUGCCAAAACACCAAUGUACCCCAUUUUUUCCAAAUCCUCUCCUAGGAAACGAAUGCCUGCUCUUAUGAGAUUAACCCACAUAUUUGGGAAAUCCUUCUUCCUGGGGCUCUCUGCAGGGUUUAAAUAGAACCCUGGAAUGAGUCUCAUGUAAGUGGGUUAAUGCCACUUACUGCUCUAUAACUUUACAUACUUGAAGCACAGAUGCAAUGCAAGAUGGGCAUGAGUCUUCUUAUUUUGUCUCUUUCUUGUGCUUGACAAAGACCCCCAUUCCACGUUCGAUAGCAAGUUGCUGGGCCGAUAUUCUGGCAGAAAAAUCCAUAGUGCUGUUUAUCUGGUGUCAUAGAUUUAUUUAUUUCUAAUGUUACCUUUUUAAAACCCAUUUAAAAAAAAAAAAGUUUUACCAAUGGCGCAGUUCCUCUGUGGUUUCAUCUUAUCUAACUUGGGCUUCUUCUUCGAUUCUACUGAUUGACUUUAUUGCAUGCACAUAUAUUAAGUAACUGCUAUGGUAUCCAGACUCUCUGACGUAACCUAAUUUAUGAACUAGACAUGCAUGCAUGAGAGAAGUAUUGAGCUGGGGCACCAUUUUAAAUUCUGCCAUUAGAGCAUCUGUUUGUUUUUGCCUUGAGGCCUUGUCUUUGUCUCCUAGUUGAUGAUAUCUUCUGGGAUCAGAUAUCACCCCCAAUGCUGUUGCAGCCAUGUUAAAUUAAAGAAGGAUAUCUCUGUAAACCGGAACUAGCGACUAUGGAAGUGCUAGCUUGUAGACAGCUAUUCCAUAUCACUGCAUAAAAAGCCUCCCCUGCCUUUUACAGAAAUAAAUAUACUCAUAUCAUGCAAAUGUGUACUAUUAUAUUUACCUUUAUAGUGAGAAACCUUGCUUAAAGCAUCAAGGUUAGGCUUUAUAAAAUUAAAUUACAGCAUUUUCAUAAGCUCGUUUGGGCAGACCUUCUUCACCUACUAUUCCCAUAUGUCAUACAUGCAGACCUUCUUCACCUACUAUUCCCAUAUGUCAUACAUGCAGACCUUCUUCACCUACUAUUCCCAUAUGUCAUACAUGCAGACCUUCUUCACCUACUAUUCCCAUAUGUCAUACAUGCAGACCUUCUUCACCUACUAUUCCCAUAUGUCAUACAUGCAGACCUUCUUCACCUACUUUUCCCACAAGUAUUAAAUAUUUGUUAGAAUUAAUUAUUUGUAUUGUUUACCUAUUGUACAAUGCUGCCAAUUAUGUUGGCACUAUAUAAACAAUUGUCAUUGUCAUAUUUAAAUUUUUUCGUUGGUUAUAUUUAGUCCUUUGGAAAAGCUGCUGUUGUAAAAAGUACUUGGACAUUACAUGGCAAAAACAGUAUACACUACCAGAGAUAUUUUAGCUCAAAUGUAACCUAAACAGUUUAUAAAACUCACUAAAGGUCAGGCAGCUCACCCAAUGCAAGAAGCCUGGAUACUAACAAAUAAAAACAUUGAAUAUAUUUCCUGCAAGUGAUUUGAAUAUAUUUCCUGCAAGUGACAUCCUUAACUAAACAGUUGCCAAGGAAUUCUUCAUUUACUCCACCGGCAUGUCUGGUAUUUGUAAAUUGUUCCAAGAGAGCUGCGGUCUGACAUUCUGAAAUUAGCAAUAAAAAUAAUUAAAAUAAUUAAAACAUGUGACCAGAAAUAUGCGCCGUAGUUACACAAAAUGUCAUCACUGUUAAUCCCAUAUACGUCAACUAAGCAGCUUGUUAUAAACUUGUUGUGUGUUCCGGUAUACGCAAAACCAAGAUCAUCUUUCUAAUUGUUUUUUUAAAUACAGACUGGGGGGGGGAGGCAAAUGUGAGUUCUCCUUACCUGAAUCUGCACAUGGCGGGCUUCCCAUCUUGUCCCUGCGGGUCCUCUUCAGCAUGCGCAAAAGUACAACAUUGAGGAUGGAGGAUGCCGCAGCACCGUAGGAUUCUGUACAGAUAACGCCAAAUCCCUGCAGCUGUCAUUAUUGAUACAACGGUGGUGGAUCUGCCCAAUGUCUAGAAGUGUCAGGAGUAAUAAAUAUACAGAGACAAAGUAGUCCUUACUUUGUCUCUGUAUUUCUCUUGAUUUGGUUGGAAUUCCAGUGAAAUUCCACACAGUCAAUAUGAGUAUUACAUAAAGAUUCUAUCUUUAUGAAAUAUUCAUUUUUUGUGGGUGGGAGAGGUGACAGCGCUGCUUUAAGUAAUUGAAUAAGCAAAUUCUGGGAACAUUUGAGCAAUUGAUAGACUAAAAAAAGUUUAGAUUUCAAUGUCAUUGACACCAUUCACAUGAUCACACAUAGGGAAGUGACCCAGUGAAAACAAUUAUGUCAGCAUGGUUUUAUGUGAUGAUUAUUGGCCGUGAUGUUUAACUGUGAUGAUGUGACUUGCACAUUAUACACAAUAAAGAUAUCUGCAUUCAAAUCACACUCUGCGGCCUCUUGGAGAGUUUUCCAUACUUUUCCUUGAAUGUUUAUAAUUUAACAUGAGGAAGCAAUUUACUCAUUUCAUGUACUCAGUAUCCAAUAACACAAAGUUGAAUUUUGUUGAUUGGUGAAGUCAUAUGCCAGCCAACACUUAGUAGAUGUUGUAAUUAAUAAAACAUAAGGUUUUUUUUUUCUUUAUUUUUGUGCAUUUUGAGGGUAACCCAUCGUUGAUCCUCAGAUUUGUUUGACCUCAUUCUGGCCUAAAAUAAUGAUGUCUAAAACUAACAUAGUGGGAAUAGAGUGGCCCAUUUUGAGAACCACAUCUGCUCACAAUAUUGUUUGAUAAUUACUGCAAUUCAUUCAUGGUUUUAUUGUUAGAAGAGCAGGUAAAAUACCUUCUACAUGGGUGCCUUAAGAUAAGUUUGUCAGAAGAGGAAUGCAUGGAUAAUAUAUUUCUCGAUUUCCCAACUUAAUGUCUAUUUAAAGUGACUCUGUCAUGAUUUAUUAUUUUUAUUUACUUUUCCUUUCCAAAUGCUCCUGGAAUCUUAAUUACUAUACUUCCUUUUUACCAUUUUCCUUUAUAUUUAUCAUCUUUUUUUUCCUUGUACCAGAUCUCAAUACUUGGGCGCCUCCAUUUUGUUCUUCUCUGUCCAUGAUGUCUACAGUUUUCUCUUCUGUGAGAUUAUUUUGACUGAUGGAUUCAGGGUAAAUUAACUUAUCACCUGAAAUGGAACUAUGUUUAACCCCUUAAGGACACAUGGCAUGUGUGACAUGUCAUGAUUCCCUUUUAUUCCAGAAGUUUGGUCCUUAAGGUGUUUAGCGCCACCCAUUGCCAAAAUUUGCCAAAGAUCACAUUCUCUAUGACAAAAACUAGUCAUUGAAUUUAAAAAGGAGAAAUAGUGGGAAAAAAAGGACUAACUUAAAACAAAACCUGCAAAGCAAGAGAGUCACUUUAAUUAUAUUACUUUGAUUUGUUAAGUAUGCUCAUUGUAAAUUUUACUCUUGAUAGCAUUGAUAUUUUAUUUCAUCACAUUUCACGUCAAUUCCCUCAACGUAAUAAAAUGAUUUUCCUUUCAGUCCCUCAGUUGGAUCACUAAACCAUUGCCUUUUCUAAAAAUAUUAUUAAUUUCCUUUACUUGCGCAACAUUUAUGCUUUUCUUGUAGAAUUAGCAGAAGGCUUAAACUGAUAACUGUUAUAAGUUUAAUAUGUUAAGUACACAAUUUGACCCUUAUUACAUUGCAAUAUUGUCUUGGUUUUAGUUAAUCUUUGUUUAUCUAGCACGUCACUAGGCUUAGAUUGUUUACACAAACCUAUAUAUAAAAUAAUGAAAUGUUUAGAAUGGAAGACAUAGGAUAAGAACUUAUGUUGAUUACACGCAAGAGAUUAAGUAUCACAUAAUGUUGACGUAGCACUGUCAGGAAACUAUUUAAAAGGCUAAAAAUGAUUUUGCCUCAAAAUGUAAGGGAAUAAUAAGGUCUACUACUCCCUAGGGUCAUCAUGUUGCAACUAGGGUUUAACCAGGGAUUGUAUUUUCAGAGUACCAAAAGCUUGCCUCUGCUUCCCAAGGGCCUUGACUUUCAAUUAUGUCAGCAUGGUUUUAUGUGAUGAUUAUUGGUCGUGAUGUUUAACUGUGAUGAUGUGACUUGCACCGUGAUGCAAUGCACGGCCAAUGCAGGGCCAAUGCAAGUCUUCGACCAUUUGAGCAUAAACGGACCUGUAAUUUUAAUCAAGCCAUAUCCACUACAGUGCCACUUCCUCUGAUAAAGACCAGUUAAGGUAAUUUUUGUUGCUAUCAUUGGGUUGCCAUGUAUGCAUUGCCUUUAAUUGGUUUUAUGUGAUUACUUGUGUUUCUGCCCUUGCUUUUCAUGUAGUAUUACACUAGAACACUGACAGACUUUGAUGCUUUGCUAGAAUACGGACUGAGCUUUCUCUUUACAGCCCCAAGAAUUCUGGUGUCCAGCAGGUUCUAUAGGAAACUAUCAGCCCAAGUCAGCAAAUCAAUAUAAGCUGUUCUAAAUCCAUUAGGCUCUUUGCCCAGAUGUUUAUUGUCAUAAGUCUCAUUUGUGAAUAGUGGGACUUUCCUUUUCACUCCAAAAUGGAUAAAUGUUAAUACUAUCUGCUCUCCUAAUGCUCUUAAAAAUCCUAAACAUGCAAGAUAAGUCACUGAACUGCUAAGUAUCAAACACUGAACAGAGAAUUUAAACUUUAUGCCAAAGCAAAAUGGUGAAUAUCAUCUAACAUAGUUGUUAUUCCAGCUAUGUUGGCUUUAACUCUGAAGUUCACUGUUCAAUUCCCGACAAUUACCAGUUUAGUAAAUACCUCUGUUAAUACAUGGCUGCUUGCCUUUUGUAUUCUUAGUAAUUCCAUGUUAAGUGUGAACUGCUUUAAAUGAACUCUACAAGCCCUAUAACCACUAGAGGGUGCUGUAGUGUUUAUGGUGUUGAAGGUGCCCUGGUACCCCUUCAGAGUAUUGAGUCAAGCCAUUUUAGAAUGGUUUGUCUUUUUACCUGGGAUCCAUUGGAGCACUGGUCUCUGCCUGCACUAUUACCUAAUGAGAGUUGGAAGCUCACUAUUGAGCUAAGCCCAUCGGUGAUAACAGAAGUUCCUGCAUAAGAGCUUUCACCUUUGCAUGAUAAAUAGAGGAGUAGGAGAGUGUUACCUGAAGAACCCCAUGUAAAAAGUCAAACCAUUUAAAAAUGGUUCAACCCCUCACUAUGGGAGGAGGGACCAGCAAAGUCCUGGUGCCAUAACCACUACAGUGAGAUGUAGCAGUUAUGAUGCUUGAAGUGUUCCUUCAAUGGGCAAUGUUUUUCCUUGAUCCCAUUUGCCUUGAAAUCAUAUUUAACAAUGUACUACACCUCUUCUGCAUUUUACUUAUGCUGAUGCUCAACUACAAUUACAAUUAUUUAUAUAGUUCCAAAAUUUGGUGGCAUGGAACCAUAGGUAAAACAAGACAAACAAAUAAUUCUAACUUAACCCUGGAGGAGUAGAUAAAAGAGAACCCUGUCCAAAAGAGUUUACAAUCUUAAAGGAUGAGGUACAAGUACACAUAUGGUACAGUCAAGCAUCGUCGAAUGUGGCAUAGGAGGGCAUUCUAUAAGUAAGGAUCAGUUCUAGUAACUUUUUUCAAAUUUAAUUACAUUUAUUUCAUCCUGUUGAUUGUAUUUUCAGUUAAUGACUUUGCAUAAAAGAUUACCCAACUCCUUGUUAUUAAUCAUACAGCUUCAUGUUACUUGAACAAACAUUCUUCAUCAUUCUGCUCAUGCUCACUAACUUCUCCUGAAGUUUCUGGGCUCUGUCUACUGGAUUAUAUUUGACUUGCCAGUAACUUGUGACUCAGGCUCCAUUGUAGGAACAUCUCUGCCACGUAGACAUUCCUUGGCUGUGACUCUAAUUCUCCUUUAAUAAAAAAAAAUCUCAAUAAUAGUAAACUUGAAAACGUUAGUUAAACAUUAGUACCUGGUAGACUUGACUAUACUGAUCAAAGCGUGAUAUUGUAUGAUUCCAUUAUUAUUUUAUUAUAUUUAUGUAUUUUUUUUUCUCUUUUUAUUCAGUUAAUAUUAGUUAAACACUUAUAUUGCAUGUUCUAUAUUUAUUGUAUUUGCAAAAAAAUACCUCAAUAAAAUACUUUGAAAAGAACUUGAUGCGUUGGCUAAGUUGUUUUUCCCUACGAUUUUGGCCUUGGUUUACAAGGAUUUAAAUUGGUUUAACCAACAAUAUUUGUCCUUUGGAUUACAGUCUGCAAAUCUGGUCGUUGAGAUAAGCCAACCAACUAAAAGUUUUAUUUUCUAUUUGCAUAAAAAAAAAAAAAAAAGGACCCUUUCUUUCAUUGCUUCAUUUUUAAAGGACUAAGUGAUCCAUUCGUAAAACAAGUCCUUCUCAACUCUUGUCAUUUCAGUUCGAGACUGCAAAAUCUGUUAUUGAAGACCUGAUCUAUUCAAUUUAUAACAAGUAGUUAUAACUUAUGCAACGCAUCUAUGUGUUCACUUCAUUUGUGUUUAAAUUGCAAUAUUUUAUUGUACCUCCUGUAUAUAUAUUUCCCCAGGGCGGACAUGAAUGGCGUAUAACUAGUAUCUGCAAAAUGUCUGAAAUCAUUCAGUGACAUCCAUUUUGCUCAGUGAAAAUUCACAAACCUUGGGUAAGUUAAUUUUCGGAAAGUUUGCCAUUCAAUACUUACUGAACACAGGACACUUCAAACUUUUUAAUUUGCAGAACAUCUUCAAAGUCAAACUUGUAAGUUUGGAUAAGUUAGGCUAGCUAACAAGUAUUCAAGUUCUUUUUGGGUUGAACUCAAGGUCCCACUGAGGUCAAUUAAGGCAAAAUGUCAACCCCCAAGCUUUCCUGACUCUGUUAGGGGACCAUUAUGCAUUUUGUUUCAUGGCCAGAUAAAUAGAGAUUACUGAAGAGUCAAUUUUUUCGUCACUUACAUGAAGACCAAAUGGUCUAGGGUUACAACAGUUUUAAACUGUUAGGGUUUUUCAUUAACGUCCUAAUAGCCCCAUGAAAUGGGGCAAAACCAUCGACUGUAUACACGGCCAUUCGGACUACAAAAUCUGGACAUUGUUUGUGCUUAUUUGUAUACCAGGCUUUAAAUGAGCCUAACUUAGGCGAGACUAUUAAAAUCCAGACCUGGAUGCUAUUUUUCCUGCACUCAGCAGGAAAAUAGUUAAAAACCCUUGGUGGCACAGGUUUAAACCAGUGAUGGCGGGCUAGUGUCUCCUGGAUUUAUUGAGCAGUGAGAAUUAAGCAAUGAGACUGCAGUGGCAUGAUCUCCACACCAAAACUGCUUCAUUAAGCUAAAGUUGUUUUGGUGCCUAUUGUGUCCCUUUUAUUGGUACUUUGUGAAUCUUCCAAAUCCUAUACCUUUAUAAACAGUUCAUAUGUGAAAAGCACAGAUUUUAAUCUGGGCAGACUUAAUCUGGAAUACAUCUGGGCGAUUGCUGCAGAUUCACUUACACCAAUCGAAUUCUGAUCGUAUUUGAUUUUAGUAAAUUUGAGAAUUGCCAUUGAGGUCGGAAUUCAUCUGGACAAAAUCUGGUGCUAAGUGAAUAAUUCUGUAAGAUGACUACAACUUUAGUACUAAACUAAAUUGCAGUUAGUAUUAGGGCUUGCUAAUCAUUAGGCUUGCGAACACAAAACAUUUGGUCUGGCUAUACCAAUUUUUUCUGAAAAAUAAGAAAAAAUUCAGCUCAGCAGUAUUUCAGUAUCAAGAAACUAAUUUAGGAAACAAAUGAGUUGAGCCAAAUGUUGAGCCAAAUAUUGAGUAUACAAUUUGCAGUACACUGAUUUUUCCACCAUUUGGUUUACAGAUCAAGUAAUAAAUAGUGAACAAAAGAAUGAAAAACAGGAGGAGCAGUACAAAUAAUCUAUAUUUAUAUACAUUGUAUAAUUAUUAAAUAUAUAAAGUAUAAAAAUAAAAAAUUAUCUUCCUUCUUUUCCCUCUAUUGCUCACUUCUCACUUGAUCUGUGCAUAAAACAAAUAUUUAAUGACUGUUCCCUAGCCAUCAAUCAUCAAUUUGUUUUUUGGUGGUAUGGGCAGAAUUCAGAAUCACAAAUCAAACUAUGCACGGUCGACCAUUGUGCUUUUUGGCACGAUCGGCGCAAAUUCAGACAGAAUGCAGUUCAGACUGAAUUUAUUUUCCAAGUCUAGCCAGCAUUGUAGGGAACAGUUGACAAGCAUCUGCCUUGCCAAGGUUAGCAAUUUAUAAUAAUCAUAAUGAAUGAAGAUAUAAUGUCAUUUGAGUAGAGGCCUAAUCUGUGAGUUGAAUUAUUUUGAAUGUCCUACUUUUAGUGGUGGGGAAAAUAUUGGCACAUUGUAAGUCAUAGUAAUAAUAAUAAUAACACCAUAAUAUGCGUUCUACCACUUCUGAAUUACAUUCAGUCUAAAGCAUGGUCGCGCAUUAUGGGAAACAUUGCUCAUUAACAUCUAUAGAAAGUUUAGCCACUAUUGAAUUAGAAUAUACAAAGAGACACUAUAGUCACCUUAACAACUACACCUUAAUGUAUUUGUUCUGGAGAGUAUAGUUAGUCCCUGCAGGCAGAGAAAAGGCAGUGUUUACAUUGCUGCCUAGUAACACCUCCAGUGGCAGUCACUCAGACUGCUACUAGAGGUGCGUCCUGGGUCAGUGCUGCACAUUCUGCAUCUCCAUGCAGACUUUCCUGAUAGAGAUGCAUUGAGUCAAUGCAUCUCAAUGAGUAGAUGCUGAUUGGGCAGUGGGGUGUUUGGCUUCUCUAAUCCGGCCCCAUGGCUGAGAUCAUCAGAAUCGACGAUCUCAGCCAAUCCAAUGAUUUCCUAUUAGAAUUGGAUUGGUUGAGAUUGUCAAUUCUGAUAGUCUUAGAUCGGGGGCCAGGGCCAGGGCCACUGUGUGGUGCUGAAAUAAAGUAAGGAAACUACUUAUUUAAAGGGACGAGGGGGCUGGGCACCUAAAUAGUAUUUUUAACACUAUAGGGUCAGGAAUACACGCUUGCAUUCCUGACCCUAUAGUGUCUCUUUAAUUACAAGAAACAACACUGAGCAUCCAGCAAAAAUGUCCUCCUUGUAUGGUGGAGGGUGCUGAGAUCACAGUCCCAUUUUAUUUGGCAACAAUAUGGUUCAACACUUCUUUAUUGUUUUGCAAAAAAAGUCUUUAUUUAGUACCAUUAAACAGCAAGUUUUCACAAAUCAUUAAUCAAUUUGUCAAGAAUAAACAUUGUGACAGCAUAUAAAGAUUGUUUCAUCUAGAAUCCGGGUUCUCCCAGCUAUUAUGGUUUUAUACAGAAAACACAAUCACAUUUUGCAGUCAAGUCUCUCAGAGGAUCCCAUACUUCAUUAUUCUCCUUAAAAUAACACAAACAGGAAAGGUUGACUAAGCAUUUCCAUAAUUUGCCACCACAACCACAACACAGAGAUCUUCUAUGACCUAUAGUGUCAGCAGUCUUGGGAUUUACAGCAUUCUUAAAGUGUUUCAGUAAAAUUGAGAGAAUGCCUAAGAGAGAACGAUGCUAGCCUUUUAAUGCUAUGUACAGUCCAGUCAUUGUACACAAAUUUAGUCCUAUGUGAACAAAUUCUAUAGCUGGGAAAUACUUCUAAUACAAUCCAAAUUUCUCCUCCAAGAAAAACAACGUUCCCUUUCCUUAUCUAUGAUACAUGUAAAUGUCUGCACCAGGGACACAUUAAACUGUUUAUUCUACAACCAUUCUCAUGAUUUUGCAAAAGAGUGGGAAGGAUAUAAUUGUGAACAGUUUUUCCACUCUGCUGGGAAAUGGUGUUAGAGGUAUGAAGAUAAAAAAGAGAGAAAAAAAACGGAGAACGAAUGUCUGUUGUGAUGCUCCAGUUAUCUCAAGCCAGAAGGAAAGCUGUUUUAUUUUACCCAAUUUAGUAUAAACUAAUUCCAGAUCGACCUGAAAAGAUGUAAAUGUGUGAAUAUUAUUAUGAAUAUAACUUUGCUCACUCUAAAGUUCAGAUCUGCUUCUCAUUCACAUUGUGUUUGAUCUUCACGCUGAAGAAUUCUAGUUUUAGAACCAUGUUUUCUAAACAUUAGAUAUCUGCUUGGAGACCGGGGCGCAUAGCUAAAUAUUUUCUUUGUUUUCUUGCCGCUAUUAAAAAAAAGAAAACUGGCAUUGAUUAACAUACUAUGAAGAAUGAAAGAAAUAUUGCACUCAUUUUCGCAAGAGAUCUAACCAAUGUUAUUGGUUAUUUUCCCAAAAAGCCUCAAUGUUGAAUUGUGAGUCAGAUUUGGCACACUUGCAAACUGGCUAUGCAUUAUCAAAGUAGUUGAUUACAAUCGAAAUAAAGAUAAAGUGGCCAGGACACACUUUUGGACUACUCAUUCUCCCGGGGGUGCUCAAUGACCCUGAUCUAGAAGCAAUAGUAGAUAUAAAUUAAUAGGUCAAGAACUCUUCAAUUGUAUAUAACUACUAUAAAUGUAUUGAUGUUCCAGAAUAGCUAGCAAUGUUUUGACAUGUUGUCAAUCUGUACUAUCUAAUUUAGAAGGAAGGAUGAUAUGGGUAUCAACGAUUAAUCUAGACAAGCAGGUAUAGAGUUAUACACAUUUAUUUGCAUAGUCAAGGGUAUAGGAAUAUGUAUAUAUGUACAUAUGGGAUCUAUGUAUAUGGAAAGUGUGGCUGAGCAAGGAGGGGGAUUUAGAGCAUUGGGAUUCAACUCAGAUAGUGAGGGGCGGGUACUGAUAUGGAUAAUUUGGCUAGGGAAGUAGAAAUGGACAAGGACUUGAGCAAUUUGUAGGUAGGGAUGUGUCAAGGUUUCAAAAUAUUUUCACACACACCUCAAAAUUUCCACUCUUCACUAGCUAUUGGUUAAAAAAAAAGUAGAAAUUUAUUCCUGGUGAAUAUGCUAUGGCUCCCUACGGUGAGUAGCUUUCAAGAACUUGCUAGAAGUAUGCAACCCAAUGUGUAUAUAGCUUGGCGAGCAUUAGGCUGCUAGAGUAGGACCUGCCAAGAAUGGGGUACAUUGACGUUGUGGCAGGCUUAUGCAAUAUAUGAUCAUAUAAUGUAACUAAACCCCCAUUAUUUUUUGCCUAGGUGAGGUGUUUUUAAAUAAAACUAUUACAAUCUCUAAGAUUUUGAAAGCAUUGUUUAGUGAAUAAGCGAGUGCGCUGGAUUCUGUAUUUUUUAUUUUUUAUAUAUAUAUAUAUAUAUACACUUAUCAGUCACAACAUUAAAACCACUGACAGGUGACGUGAAUAACAUUGAUUAUAUAAUUGAUUAUAUCAUUACAAUAGCACCUGUCAUGCGGUGGGAUAUAUUAGGCAGCAAGUGAACAGUCAGUUCUUGAAUUUCUUGUGUUGGAAGGAGGAAAAAUGGGCAAGCGAAAAGUGACUUUGACAAGGGCCAAAUAGUGAUGGCUAGAUGACUGGGUCAAAGCAUCUCCAAAACAGUAAGUCUUGUGAGGUGUUCUUGGUAUGCAGUAGUUAGUACCCACAAAAAGUGUUGUAAGGAAGGGCAACAAGUAAACCGGCAUCAGACUCAUUGAUGCACGUGGGGAGUGAAGGCUAGCCUGUGUGGUCGGAUCACACAGAAGAGAUACUGUAGCUCAAAUAGAUGAAAAACGUAAUGCUGUCACUGAAAGGUGUCACAACACAUGGUGUUGGUACACACAUGGUUCCAUGAUGAUCCCUGUCCACCGCUUCUAUAAUGGGGACGUGGAUGCCAGAACUGGACCAUGGAGCAAUGGAAGAAGGUUGCCUGGUUUAAUGAAUCAUGUUUUCUUUUAGAUCAGAUGUUUACCUGAAAAAGAAAUGGCAGAAGGAUUCACUAUGGGAAGAAGGCAGGCCGACGGAGGCAGUGUUAUGCUCUGGGUAAUGAUCUGGAAAACUUUGGAUCCUGGCAUUCAUGUGGAUGUUUCUUUGACACAUACCACCUAGAGAUUGUUGCAGAUCGUGUACAUGCCUUCAUGGCAAUUGUGUUCCCUGAUGGCAGCGACUUCUUUCAGCAGUAUAAUGCAGUCUAACCUAAUUUUUUCAUUAUUCAGGAACAGUUUGAGGAACAUGACAAAAAGUUCAAUGUUUUGUCAAAUAACCCAGAUCUCAACCUGAUUGAGUAUCUGUGGGGUGUGCUGUGACAACAACUCUGAUCCAUGGAGGCCCCACCUCACAACUUGAAGGAUUUAAAGGAUCUGCUGCUAAUGUCUUGGUGCCAGAAACUACAGGACACAUUCAUAGGUCUUGUGGAGUCCUCCUAUUAACAUGUCUUUCUCAAGCUUUGCAACUAACUUCUCUCUACUAUAUUUUUCCCUCUGCCCUAGUAUAUUUCCUGCACCCUUCAAGCAUGCAACCUUGACCCAAAUUCCCCAUCCAACUACCAACCCAUCUCCCUACUACCAUUUGCCUCCAAGAUCCUUGAAAAUGUUGUGUACACCAGACUGACUAAUUUCUUGAAUCUAACUCUCUGCUGAACCUGUUUCCAUCUGAAGUUCUCACUCUUCACUCAAAACAACUCUGUCCAAAGUAUCAAAUAACAUAAUUGCUGCAAAAUCCACUGGUCACUAUUCCCUUCUCUUUUGUCGAAUUGUCGAAUUUUGUCCAUCUUUUUAGUGAAUAACCCUAUAAGCCUUCAUUGUAAACUCUUCUAGCAACCUACUUCUACAUCACAUGACAUACAUUCACCCUUACCUUCUGUCAUUUUACUGCUGGCCUAUCAUUAUCCACAGUAUCCAAUACUGCAUUGUGGCGGAGGAUUUUCUUUUAUCUGGGUUCAGCAGUUGAUUGGUAUCAGCUAAGCAUCAUAGUCUACUAAUGAAACAGUGUUAUAGAAUGGUUGUCUCUGCAUGUUAGCUUUUAAUGUGUUCUGUGAAACAGUUAAUAAUGAACACUUGGUAUGCACAGACAUUGCAAGCAAGCCAAGAGGAAAGCAGCAUGUGGAGUGAAUAACAAUAGGAGGCAUGUAAGGAGUAUUUGUACAAUGAUGUCAAUGGGUUAGAUUUAUAAAGGGUUGAAAAGAAUAUACUUUAAGGAGCAAAAAAAAAAAAAGAAAAAAUAUCUGAUCUCAAUUCUAUGUUUUAUUUUUAAUCAAAAUGACAAUAUAUAUAUAUCUACUUCCUUACAAAUAUUAAUACCAUCUGACAUGGAACCAAUCUGCUAGUUGGACUGGCAGAUCUGUACAUUUUAACAUCACAACAAAUUCAUUUUAAGACCCCCACUGAUGAGCAUUCUUUUCAAGAGGGAACCCAUUUAGUAUUUUUAUAUUCUAUAAGGGCAGAUAAAUAUUUUGGGAAUUUUGUGUAUGGAGAGGCGAGUCAGAGAGUAGUUAGAACUGAGACAGUGUAGAGAUGACGAACUGUUUAGUAAGAUUUGAGACAUUUAGGGAAUUAUUAAGCACUUGUCGGGAUUGAGGUAUUUGGGAGAGAAAUAAUCAGGGGAUUUUUAAUUUUGUCAUUGCAGGUGAAUUAAAACUCAACUCAGAUAUGUGACAUCACAAUCGCACUGGCUAGAGAGUCCCGAGGUCUAGUUGACCAUCAGUAUGUGAGCUGUAUGUCACACACAUGUAGUCCAUAGUUACUAUGACAACAGAAAUGUAUGUAAAUUCAACUACUCAUGAAACUUCCCACCACAGUUUUCAGCUCCGGGCUUGGAAAGCCCAAGAUCUGCUGAAUGAUAUGCAAUAAAAUAAUUUAAUAGAUCAAUUAUUUAAUUUAAUGCUUGUACAAUAUAUCGUAACAUUUCACGGAAAACUUCAGCUGAUAUCUGUUUUGAUACUAUAUGAGUGUGGUCCAAACCAUUGGACCACAGUAUUGUACUGUCCAGUUGUGGACCACCAGACAAACCAGCACUGGUGGAAUCUAUCAGAGCAAUUUAAACAUGAAGUGGGUACAUUUUUUAUGUUUUCUUUUUAUCUCUGGGGUAGCGGCACAGAAUUUGGCUUCGUAUUUUAUGCAAUAAAAUAAUUUAAUUAAUCUGGUUAAGAAUUUAUGGUAUGUACAGUGUAAUGACUUUAGAAUGCAGCAGAGAUGAACAACUACUACUGUUCUAAAGUAUGCACUCUAUCUUUAUUAAUUUUAGGAUAAAUGAUAAUAACAUUUACUGCUUAAUGAAUAAGAAUCUUCCUGUUAUUUAUUGGG